UACGUAGGGUCCAAGCGUUGUCCGGAUUUAUUGGGCGUAAAGAGCUCGUAGGCGGUUCGGUAAGUCGGAUGUGAAAACUCAGGGCUCAACCCGGAGACGCCAUCCGAUACUGCUGUGACUUGAGUCUGGUAGGGGAACACGGAAUACCUGGUGUAGCGGUGAAAUGCGCAGAUAUCAGGUGGAACACCGAUGGCGAAGGCAGUGUUCUGGGCCAGUACUGACGCUGAGGUGCGAAAGCGUGGGGAGCAAACAGG
rnacentral:rRNA from 1 species